GCCCAAACCACCAACUUUCUGCUGUUGACACAGUGCCCUCUCAAGCAGCAACUACAGCAAGCAGUGUCACAAGCAACGUCAUCUGGCUAUUCAGCCUCCACCAGGAAAGUUCUCCUGCAGCAGUAUUUGAUUUGAACGGCUAAUGUAAGAUUCCAAAAAGAUGAAAUGGUCUUGUAAAACGUGUAUAUUUGAGGCUGACACACGGACAGAACUGUUGAAACACUACAGACUAAGACAUGGAAUGGUUAGCCGUGGCCAGAUGCGCCCUGAUGGAAUUCCUGGGGGAGUCUUCAGGGGAACUCAUCAAGGACUACAAGGGUAUCAGCAGAGAGGCAGCUCAAGAGGACCAGGCUGAGCAAGUCCUGAGGAUCUGUGUCUACCACACAGGAGAAGAAGAUGAAGGUGCAUUCGACGCUGAUGUGUCGAUUGUGGUUGAAGGGACUGAGGUACUUGACAACUGUGGAAGUGUUGCAAAGGCCUGUCUCCUGCUGAUGGGCAUUGCUUAUGCCAUGAACUUGAGUUACCUACCAAAAAUGAAGUGCACUUUUGAAGUGUUCCAGAAGCUUCUUCUAGAGCUUGAUGUCCUUAAGCUAUGU